AAUCAACGCUGGCGGCGUGCCUAACACAUGCAAGUCGAACGCGAAAGGGGGGCAAUCCCUGAUUAGAGUGGCAAACGGGUGAGUAACACGUGGGUGACCUGCCUUCGAGUGGGGGAUAACCUUCCGAAAGGAGGGCUAAUACUGCAUGACAUACCGUGUUUGGAUACACGGAUAUCAAAGCCGGGGACCGCAAGACCUGG
rnacentral:rRNA from 1 species